AGUGAACGCUGGCGGCAGGCCUAACACAUGCAAGUCGAGCGGCAGCGCGGGGGCAACCCUGGCGGCGAGCGGCGGACGGGUGAGGAAUUCGUCGGAAUCUGCCUUUUUGUGGGGGAUAACGUAGGGAAACUUACGCUAAUACCGCAUACGUCCUACGGGAGAAAGUGGGGGACCGCAAGGCCUCACGCAGAAAGAUGAGCCGACGACCGAUUAGCUAGUUGGUGGGGUAAAGGCCCACCAAGGCGACGAUCGGUAGCUGGUCUGAGAGGAUGAUCAGCCACACUGGGACUGAGACACGGCCCAGACUCCUACGGGAGGCAGCAGUGGGGAAUAUUGGACAAUGGGCGCAAGCCUGAUCCAGCCAUGCCGCGUGUGUGAAGAAGGCCUUCGGGUUGUAAGGCACUUUUGUCCGGAAAGAAAUCCCUGGAGCUAAUACCUUCGGGGGAUGACGGUACCGGAAGAAUAAGCACCGGCUAACUUCGUG
rnacentral:rRNA from 1 species